GACGGGGCCGCACAAGCGGUGGAGCAUGUGGUUAAUUCGACGCAACGCGAAGAACCUUACCAGGGCUUGACAUCCCCUGACCGCGUAUGAAAGUACGUUUUCACCCUCGGGUGACAGGGAGACAGGUGGUGCAUGGUUGUCGUCAGCUCGUGUCGUGAGAUGUUGGGUUAAGUCCCGCAACGAGCGCAACCCCUACGUUUAGUUGCUAACAGGUGAAGCUGAGCACUCUAGACGAACUGCCGUUGACAAAACGGAGGAAGGUGGGAUGACGUCAAAUUAUCAUGCCCCUUAUGUUCUGAGCUACACACGUGCUACAAUGGCCGGUACAGACGGAGGCGAAGCCGCGAGGCGGAGCAAAUCCGAAAAAGCCGGUCUCAGUUCGGAUUGCAGGCUGCAAUUCGCCUGCAUGAAGUCGGAAUCGCUAGUAAUCGCAGGUCAGCAUACUGCGGUCGAAUACGUUCCCGGGCCUU
rnacentral:rRNA from 1 species